GAUGAACGCUGGCGGCGUGCCUAAUACAUGCAAGUCGAGCGAACAGACGAGGAGCUUGCUCCUCUGACGUUAGCGGCGGACGGGUGAGUAACACGUGGAUAACCUACCUAUAAGACUGGGAUAACUUCGGGAAACCGGAGCUAAUACCGGAUAAUAUAUUGAACCGCAUGGUUCAAUAGUGAAAGACGGUUUUGCUGUCACUUAUAGAUGGAUCCGCGCCGCAUUAGCUAGUUGGUAAGGUAACGGCUUACCAAGGCAACGAUGCGUAGCCGACCUGAGAGGGGGGUCGGCCCCACGUGGAAUGAAGCCCGGGCCCAGCCCCCAAGGGGAGGCAGAGGUGGGAAUUCUUCGGAAAGGGGAGAAAGCCGGAGGGAGCAACGCGGGGGGAGUGAGAAGGUUCUUCGGAUCAAAAACCGUUUUUAUGGGGAAAAAAAAAAUGUGAAAGUAACUAUGCGGGUCUGGAGGGACCCAAAACAGAAAGCCACGCCAAACUCGUC
rnacentral:rRNA from 1 species